AUUUUAUUUUAAUUUGAAUAUUUUUUAUUGUUUUUAUUUAUAAAUUAUGUAAAUGAUUUUUUCUUUUUUUUUUUUUUUUUUUCUAGUCAAAAAUAUUCCAAUCUGUUUUAUUUCCAACUUAUGAUCAUGUCAAUAAUAACGACUUACGAUGUAUAUAUAUAUAUAUAUAUAUAUAUACAUACAUACAUACACAUAUAUAUAUAUAUAUUUAUAUAUACACCUGCUAUAUUUUUAAAAAUAUUUAUGCAAUUUAAAUGUUUUAAAUGUUUUACCUUGUAGUUAAAACAUCUACCAGCAGGGAAAAACAGGCUAUGCAGUUGACUCUAAACAGUCUUUAACCGUUAUUAAGUGCCUUUAGAUCACACCACCACGUUUACCAUGGUCACAGCUGACAAAAACAGAAUUUUCCCCCUUCUUUUAUAAUAUACUAACAUUAUAAAUUUCGAUCAUAUAUGGACUACUAACAUGCCUGGUUUUUAUUUCAGAAAUCUGGUCACUUUCAGAGCCGUGCCUCGCGUUCUCUAAGCGGACGAGCGUAAUUCUUUGUUCUCGCUGCUUUGUGCUGGACUCAAGCCAAGAGCUUAAUUUAACGAUAUGAGUUUCUACAUGUGUAAUGUGGAGGGUGCUGCACAGAUGCUUGGAGUCUCACAAUAUCCACCCCACACUGAGCAGCCACUCACACAUAAUGUUUUUGUCUGAACGUAAAGCUUCCAACAGUGAGUUAAAUGGAAUAUUUAUGUCUUGGGACUGGGAAAGAAAGUCCAAAUUAGACAGGAGCUCGACGAGUCAUUUGAUCUCUUCUAUGAUUAGCCGGUGACAAUGAUAUCAAUUGCACCCUUCAGCCCUCCUACCUGCGACCUUAAUAGGUGAAAUCUGCUGUUUUGACUGUCAUCUCACCAGUCAUCUCACCUCUACCCCUCCUCUUUCUCCACAUUCACAGAGGCCCUGGCGAUUUUCACCUCCACCCCGGCUCAUGCUAUCAAGCGUAGCAGGACUUCCUUUUUCUUGUGGAUGAACCACGGCUGCCGGUUACAGACGAGGCCUGCUCUUCAUUCGGGUGUGAUUUCAUACAGUGGGGCCUGUGUGUAAGCCGCAGGAGCCGGGCUUGUGGUCUCAUCAUUAGUCCGCGAGAGUUGUUUCCGUAGCAGAGGUGAGGCGAUCCGUCCACAGGUAUUACUGACUUUCCCCUUUGGCAGAACCCAGUUACUUCUUUACCAGAACGACACACCCACUCAUCUUCUCAGCAGCAGGAACUAGAAGAAAGGAAACAAAGAAAGAACAAAACAGACAUGCAACACUUGUUUGCAGCAAGGGUUUGUACUCUGCCAAAACACUGUAUACGCCCUCAGCUUAACGGACAGCGCUUUAUUUCCACCUCUACUAGUAGUCUCAUGCAUAUAACAGUGCCUGCUGAGUUCAGGGGAAGGCUCACAUGACACUGCCUACCCACUAUACACCCACAGACAGCCAGACAUUCCAGCUACAAUGCGAGCGUUUGGAUCUGAAGCCAUUUUGAAGUCGCCAUGCCCGUAAUCUAUAAAGGGAUACGAGAAUACGGCCGGGAGGAGGGAGGAUUCUGGGAUGAAGCGAAGCGUUUCCAUAUGGACAAGAAGGAGGAAUACCUGGAAAAAAGCCACUAAUCUUUGGCUGUGAAGUUGAGGAGUUUUUAACGCUAAUAAACGCGCCAUUGGCAAAGUGCUCGCCAUAAGGAGGGCCGGCUACAUCAGGCCUGUCUUUCCUCAAGAGGGACGUAGUGUUGUCACAUGUGGUCUUAGCUCCUUGGAACGCACUCAAAGACUCACUAUUAGGGUAUGAAACUCACUUCCAAACCCUCUGAGACACAAAACCCCCUCACAAAACUCUUGGGGAAGACUGAGCCUUCAAAGGCACGACGGCUCCUUUUACAGGUUGAAAAAACGAGAUAAGAACAUUCAACUGUCCAAUUCUGUAAUGCGCGUAAAGGUAAAGCGCCGCGCGUCGUCUCGCCUCCGACAUUUGGCAUCGCGCCUGAGUGUUUUAGAGUCAGGUUUGUGCUCCCGUCUCGCAUAAACAGAGCACUAGAUCUGGUCACACCGCCAGUCCUGCGAGUUUGAGAAAUGUCAACAUCAGACCCAUGGGUUGUUUCGCUCUCCACACUCGCUGGCCUUCCGUCUUUCCCCCUGCGUGUGGCCACAGGAUCAGACAGCUCGCGUCGACACAUCUCGACUCGGAGAGCCUCAAAAUGCCAUCUUGUAGCGACAUUAUCCGACAGUACGGGGCAAAAUGAGAAACGGGGAGGCAGAGGUAGACCUGCGUUGAUCUGGGAUAUGUCAGCGGCGCGGCACUGGAGAUCCACCUCCUACCCUUUUCCGUCACCGGAUUGGGCGCAGCGGAAGGGCUCAUCUGCUCCCGGGUAUCUGCGGCGCAUUAAGAGCGCAGGGGAAAGAAACUCGGAAAUGCUGCCGUGGAGACGAGGAUAAAAGUGUAAUAAUGUGCAUGACGAUAGGUCCUUUUCACACCGCUCAAACCGUAUUACUAGACCUGUCCUCAAAGGCGAGAAGGAAAAGGACAGUUGGAGAAAGAGUAAAUGACAGGGACCAAAAAUACUGGCAAAAGGAGAAACGGCGGGAAGGACAGAACCCGAAGGGGGGGCGAGAUAGAAGCGGAGCGAGAGAGAGCCAGAGUCUUAAAAAAAAACUGUAUAAGGUUUGUCAGAGGAACAAAGGAGAUAGGAUAUCCCUAAUCCCUGCAAUAUUAAUGUCUAAAAUGUCAUUAAUAAGCUCAGGAUUCUGAGCCUGAGACCACACUAGGAUGAAGGUACCUGCCAGGGCUUGUCUGACAGGGCCUUGGCUAAUGAAUGAAUAUAAAGCUACUCCAAUCAAUCACACAGGAUUUAUCUUCGCCCCGAGUAUAGGUGAGGUCUGGUAUGGGGUGACCACGACUGUCAAGCAUGCUGAAGCAGCAGCCAAGAAACUGUCGUGGCAUUACAAUGAGGCUUGUAUUAAUGGGCGCUUGUGCUUUUCUGCCAUGUGGGGGAGCAAGCGUGAAUGCGUGAGUGUGUGUGCCACGAUUUCGGGCCAUAUUUUAAUUUUAGUAAAUGAAAUGACAUCGCUGGGUCAUUAACUCCAGGUUUGGUCGCUUUACCCUGGGCAAAUGGAGGCUGACAAAUGUUUAGUUAGCUUCGCUUGUCCAAGUAAUGUCAUGUGGUGCCAACGUGAAAUCAGUCUUGAAGCUUUUCACGUAAACAGUUCGAGUGAUUUAUGUAAAUUGGUGGUUUUAUGCGGAAAUUAGAUUUACAGUAAAUAUAUAGGUAGACUGGGGCUAGAUGUCACAGUGGUUUUGCAUGUUAGUUUCAAACUCCAAGUUCGUGUUAAAUUAGGAUCAUUUUUGUCCUCCAAACUAAAAUUCCAAUGACAUAUAGUGUAACUUUUCAGUAAACAAAUGAAUGCUUUAGAAAAUCACAUUGGCAUACAUUUAUUUUUUUCUUCACAAAGGCUGCAUUCAUUUGAUCAAACAUGCAAUAAAAAGAGUAACACUGUGAAGUAUGAUUCCAUUUGGAUAUUUUAAAUGACAUAUGCAAAUAUUUAUUCUUAAUUUAUUCUUGUAAUGCCAUUACUCAAGUCUUCAGUGUUUCAUGAUCAUUCAUAAAUCAUACUAAUAUGCUGAUUUUUUGGAUUAUUAUAAAGUUAAAAAUAAUAUGAUUUAUUUGAAAUAGAACUCUUGUAACAUUAAAGGGAACCCUGGUAUUAAGACUUGUGUGGCUUAAUAUAACACUAAAAAGUAUCUUACUAAAAAUAUAUAGUAGAAAACCCAAAAAAUCCACAUCAUUUUAUACAUAUUUUGGUCUAUGGGGGGCGCCAUUAUUUUUAUGACAUCAAAUGGUUGCUCUCAGUGAGCUCCUGGUGCUAUCUGAUGCUAUUUUUACCUCAACACAACUUGUAAAAUAAAAUACAGAUAUUAUACCGCAUUGUGCCGCUUUUGGUUGUAAUUUUUAGUGGAAGGGCAACAAGAGACGCAAUGUAAGUCUUCGUUGCUUUCCUAGCAAUAAGAAGAGGAGAAAAGAUUAGGAAGAUGACUGUGGAUGAAUAAAACUUCCUAAAGACCUGCAUCUUUGUUCUCUCCACUUUAGCCCUGAUGCCGUUCUAGUAGACCACAGCUACUGAAAGAGCUUACAAACGGCAGAGACAAGAAACGCUAGAUGUCAUCCUGGCAGGAUGUAAACAUGCCAAUGCUUGUCGUGACGCCAAAGCCACUGAAGGAAUUUCUCAGUGUAGAUUUCACUCGAUAUCCAGGGAAAAAUCUAUGGUACACUUUUAAAAAUAAAGGCUCCAAAGUGGUGUUUUUGCAAUGAUGCCACAGAAGAACCAUUUUUGCUUUCCCAAAGAACCUUUCAGCAAACUGUUCUUGAAAGAACCAUUUUAAAGAACAUUUAAAAAAUCUAAAGAACCUUUUUCCACUAUAAAGAACCUUUUCUGCAUUUGAAAGGUUCCAUGGAUGUUCAAGGAUUUCUCGUCGUCUAAAUAAUGGUGCCCCCCAUAGUCCAAAAUAUGUACAAACCGAUGUGGAUUUUUUAAAUAACGUAAAUCUUUCAUGGGUUUUCUACUACAUAUUUCGGUAAGUGACAUAAUUUACAUUAUAUUCAUCCAUAAUCCAAGUCUUAAUACCCACAUUCCCUUUAAAUUAAUCUUCCAACUGUCCUUGAUAAGUAAGUGCGUCCAUUUGACUCCAAAUAAUAGUCUCAAAUGAACUCUAAAUUAUAUUUGUUGGCCAAAACAGUGCUAUUCUAUACGUUUACUGUUUUGUGAAAUCCUUUUAAUGCAACCAAAUUAGUUUGAUUCCCAGUGAAAUGCUUCUAUGGUCUUGGACUCACUAAAUCUGGCAGCUGCACCCAAAAUAGCAAUAUAUAGGCUAUAUGUCAUUCCUAAAAAGACUACUUCCCUUUCUUUAGGCUGUAAUACAUGUCUGUGACAACAGCACAGUCACUAAUUACUAGGCUAACAGCUAGUUUGGACAGUCUGUGAGAGCUCAGCAUGCAAAGUAGCUUUUGCUUGUCCAGCAGAAAGGUUACAACGUCCAUGUCACCGAGGUCCAACUAAUUACACGUAUAUUUUCACGUACCAAAGUCAUCGCUGGAAAUUUCUGCUCUCUGCAUCUCACUGUAAUCUCAGCAUGUGGUAUUGUCCUCUCAGAUGACAUUUGUUGCAAGCUGUAAUAUAAACGCUCAUUAGAGAGGGACGAAGAAACAAAGAAGUGCCCUUGUAUCUGGUUCAGCGGCAAGCUGUAUUUUGAUGCACUAACCCCAAUCAUGGGUUUGUGGCAAGUUGAGAUUAAAUGCACAGCGUUUAAUGCUCAAACAUAUGUUUUUUUAAAAACAUAAUUGCCGUGAAAUUAAUAAAAACAGGUUUAAUUAUAGUCUGUGGCUUUAAAAUGGCCCAUUAGCCCUGUCUAAAAUGGCACCUUGGCUGUUGCCAUCCAAGAAUUAAGCCUAAAUUGAGGUCAAUUUGAGUCUGUUAGUCAUUCCACUUGAAGGUGCAUCAUAACAUUCACACCACAGGUGUGAUCUGCAGAAUUAGAGUUCCCUGCACCAGCGUGUACACGGUGCCAAAUGACUUGUUCAAACAGACUACUUCACCUCAUCAAAGCACUGCCUUCAUAUCCACUGGGCAGGCAUGUCCAAAUAAGCUGUGAAAAUAUUUAUAGCCUCUCACUGACUAUCCUCUCAUUAGCGAGCACUUUUCUCCUCGCGCUGCCAGUUGCCAAAAAAGCGGAGAGUGAAAUUUAUUUUGAAUAUUCAAAAGGAGAUAAUCAGCUUGUGUGCCAGCAGUGUGCGGCUCUGUUAGGCAUGUGCGUGGCAUGGCGGCUAAGGGUGCGCGUCUCUCACGGCUUUUCAUCAAUGUUACCUGAGAUGUUCGUCUUUUAUCCGAAAGUGGGCCGUAUGGUUUGGCGAGACUAAUCAGGCGGAUGUGUCUGAGGUGAUGGCAUGUUUUUAAUACAUCCACAUAUGUCAUAUGUUGUACAGUGUGUUUGAUCUUUGAAUAUGCACAUAUGUCAUAUUUUGUUGUAAGGAAGCUUAUAAAUACAUGUUGCAUUCAGUAUAAAGCUAUAUUGAAUGUAACAUACAUACAUAUAUAUGUAGUGUCAGUGUCAUAUAUAUAUGUAUUUUUUUUUUUAAAGAAAUGUUUAUUAUUCAAUUGAUAGGAUAUCUGGCAGUACAGAUAUUUUUAUUGUUAUUUUAUUAUUAUUAUUAUUGUUUAUUAUUAAAAAACUAUUUCAAAUAAAUUCUUUAAAAUUUACACUUUCUAUUAAUCAAAGAAUUCUGAAAAAAUCUUCAUAAAAUUUUAAGCAGCAGCAGUUUUCAAUAUUGAUAUUAAUAAGUUAUAACUCAGUAUAUUAAAAUAAUCUGGCACUAAAAAUUUGAUUAAUGGCUACUGAAAAUUCAGCCUUGCUGUCAGGAUUAUGUUCUGUUUUGUCUUGUUUUUCCUAGUGUUUUUUCCCUUCUGUUUCUAGUGUAUUUGGUUUAGUCCGUGUCUCCCCCCUAGGUUUUGAUAGUUUGGUUUAGUCUUGCCCAUAAUUGUACUUCCCCUCGUUUGCUCGUUUGUAACCACUCCCCUGUUUCUGUGUAUUUAAGGUUGGUUGUUUCCCCAGGUCAUUGUCGGUGAUUAUUGUUUCACUGUGUUUUCGUUGUGGUUGCGUUUCCCUGCUGGUGUUCGUCUGUUUAUUAACGUUUUUGAUUGUUUAAAUAAACCUGAAUUGUUUGGAUCUUCGUUCUGCUACUGUUCGUUCCUGCGCACGACGACAACCCUGACACUUGCCUUAUCAAGAAUAAAUUAAAUAAAUUUUAUUUAAAUAAAUUUAAAUAAAAAUUUUAUUUAAAUAAAUUUUACUAUUUUUGAUUAAAUAAAUGCAACCUGUAUUCUGUAUUUCAAUUUUAAAAUUAU